UGCGUAGGGUGCGAGCGUUAAUCGGAAUUACUGGGCGUAAAGCGUGCGCAGGCGGUCUGUUAAGACCGAUGUGAAAUCCCCGGGCUUAACCUGGGAACUGCAUUGGUGACUGGCAGGCUUUGAGUGUGGCAGAGGGAGGUAGAAUUCCACGUGUAGCAGUGAAAUGCGUAGAGAUGUGGAGGAAUACCGAUGGCGAAGGCAGCCUCCUGGGCCAACACUGACGCUCAUGCACGAAAGCGUGGGGAGCAAACAGG
rnacentral:rRNA from 1 species